ACAAUGAAUUGAAGCAUAUAAAUGAAUAUGUUUUGCUGAUUAUAAAAAAAGAAUCCAAGCAACAACAUCUCAUAAAAAGUUAGAGAUGGCUUCUUCAAGUUUUUUAUGUCUGUGUUUGAUGUUUGCUUUUGUUGUGGCUUGCUUUGCUCGUGGCAUUCCCACAGACCAACCACCCGUGCUCUACGGAGACACACACAAGAAUCCAUCUACUUCAAACAUUGAGCAUCAUCAAUGGUCGGGAGACAAAGUUACACACCCAAUUUCAACCCAUGUCAAGUUCUCAAGUUUCACAGAGAAUUCAGAAAGGAUACUGACAGAGGUAGAUUAUGACGGUCCACAUACACACCCAAAUCCACCUCCUCAUGCUCAAAAGUUUCGAUUGUAAACAUUGUCUUCUCAAUGACAAAAAAUAAAUAAAGUUAUUAUGUCACAAUUUUAAUUUUUCUUA